rnacentral:rRNA from 1 species
UGGGGAAUUUUGGACAAUGGGCGAAAGCCUGAUCCAGCAAUGCCGCGUGUGUGAAGAAGGCCUUCGGGUUGUAAAGCACUUUUGUCCGGAAAGAAAUGGCUCUGGUUAAUACCUGGGGUCGAUGACGGUACCGGAAGAAUAAGGACCGGCUAACUACGUGCCAGCAGCCGCGGUAAUACGUAGGGUCCAAGCGUUAAUCGGAGUUACUGGGCGUAAAGCGUGCGCAGGCGGUUGUACAAGACCGAUGUGAAAUCCCCGAGCUUAACUUGGGAAUUGCAUUAGAGACUGCACGGCUAGAGUGUGUCAGAGGGGGGUAGAAUUCCACGUGUAGCAGUGAAAUGCGUAGAGAUGUGGAGGAAUACCGAUGGCGAAGGCAGCCCCCUGGGAUAACACUGACGCUCAUGCACGAAAGCGUGGGGAGCAAACAGG